GACGAACCGUGCGAACGUUGUUCGGAAUCACUGGGCUUAAAGGGAGCGUAGGCGGGCUAUCAAGUCUGGGGUGAAAUCCCACGGCUCAACCGUGGAACUGCCUCAGAUACUGACGGCCUCGAGGAAGGUAGGGGCAUGCGGAACUAACGGUGGAGCGGUGAAAUGCGUUGAUAUCGUUAGGAACUCCGGUGGCGAAAGCGGCGAUGCUGGACCUUUUCUGACGCUGAGGCUCGAAAGCUAGGGGAGCAAACGGG
rnacentral:rRNA from 1 species